rnacentral:rRNA from 1 species
UACGUAGGGUGCAAGCGUUGUCCGGAAUUAUUGGGCGUAAGGAGCUCGUAGGCGGUUUGUCGCGUCUGCUGUGAAAACUCGGGGCUUAACUCCGGGCCUGCAGUGGGUACGGGCAGACUAGAGUGCGGUAGGGGAGACUGGAAUUCCUGGUGUAGCGGUGAAAUGCGCAGAUAUCAGGAGGAACACCGGUGGCGAAGGCGGGUCUCUGGGCCGUAACUGACGCUGAGGAGCGAAAGCGUGGGGAGCGAACAGG